rnacentral:rRNA from 1 species
UACGUAGGGGGCAAGCGUUGUCCGGAAUCAUUGGGCGUAAAGCGCGCGUAGGUGGCUCCAUAAGUCCGCUGUGAAAGUCAAAGGCUCAACCUUUGAAAGCCGGUGGAUACUGUGGAGCUAGAGUCCGGAAGAGGCGAGUGGAAUUCCUGGUGUAGCGGUGGAAUGCGCAGAUAUCAGGAGGAACACCAAUAGCGAAGGCAGCUCGCUGGGACGGUACUGACACUGAGGCGCGAAAGCGUGGGGAGCGAACAGG